AGGAGUGGAGCCUGCGGCUUAAUUUGACUCAACACGGGAAACCUCACCAGGCCCGGACACCGGAAGGAUUGACAGAUUGAGAGCUCUUUCUUGAUUCGGUGGGUGGUGGUGCAUGGCCGUUCUUAGUUGGUGGAGCGAUUUGUCUGGUUAAUUCCGAUAACGAACGAGACUCUAGCCUGCUAACUAGGCGUAUUUCGACAUCCCAAAGGCCCGCCGGUUUAGGGUUUCGCGACCCUUUUCCGCGCGCGGUUUUUACUGUCGGCGUACAAACAAUUCUUCUUAGAGGGACAGGCGGCUUCUAGCCGCACGAGAUUGAGCAAUAACAGGUCUGUGAUGCCCUUAGAUGUUCUGGGCCG
rnacentral:rRNA from 1 species